rnacentral:rRNA from 1 species
UACGUAGGGUGCGAGCGUUGUCCGGAAUUAUUGGGCGUAAAGGGCUCGUAGGCGGUUUGUUGCGUCGGGAGUGAAAACCAGGUGCUUAACACCUGGCUUGCUUUCGAUACGGGCAGACUAGAGGUAUUCAGGGGAGAACGGAAUUCCUGGUGUAGCGGUGAAAUGCGCAGAUAUCAGGAGGAACACCGGUGGCGAAGGCGGUUCUCUGGGAAUGACCUGACGCUGAGGAGCGAAAGUGUGGGGAGCGAACAGG